GACGUAGGGCGCGAGCGUUGUCCGGAUUUAUUGGGCGUAAAGAGCUCGUAGGCGGCUUGUCGCGUCGACCGUGAAAACUUGGGGCUCAACCCCAAGCCUGCGGUCGAUACGGGCAGGCUAGAGUUCGGUAGGGGGAGACUGGAAUUCCUGGUGUAGCGGUGAAAUGCGCAGAUAUCAGGAGGAACACCGGUGGCGAAGGCGGGUCUCUGGGCCGAUACUGACGCUGAGGAGCGAAAGCGUGGGGAGCGAACAGG
rnacentral:rRNA from 1 species